GCCCAGGUGCUGAAACUGGUAGACAGGCAUGAUUGAGGGUCAUGUAUCCUAUGGAUGUGCGGGUUCGAAUCCCGCUCUGGGCA
rnacentral:tRNA from 1 species